UCAUCCAUUCAUGGAGGGGAUUUGUCAAAUAAUGGCACAGAUAAGACCGAAUCAAGAAUUUCUUCAAUGUUACAAUAUCUUCCUACUCUUAAAAAUAUUGUAAUUAUUAUUUGCGCGCUAACAGCUGUUCUCAUCACGUGCUUGGUAAUCAAAGUGAUCAGAUCUGGACGGAGAAUCAGGAAAACACGAAAGUAUGACAUAAUCACGACACCAGCAGAGCGAGUAGAGAUGGCUCCUUUGAAUGAGGAGAAUGAUGAUGAAGAGGACUCCACCCUCUUUGAUGUCAAGUACAGGUGAAUGCCAGCAUUAAACAGAGGAUGUUGGAUUUUGAACGCACCAUUUUCUCCAGUGGGAACACAACCCAAGGAUAUGUUUCCUAAAGCUGUUUCCUGAUAUAUUCAGUGUUUGGUAACUUCAGUUAAGUCUAGUCAAGUUACCCAUCUCACCCAAUAUUUGCAGAAGAGGUUACCUCGGUGGUCUUGUUUUCUAGAAUGUAUUCUGAUUGUGAACAUGCUGUAUUUACAAUCAUUUUGUACACAUCAUACACAUCUAAUGCAGAAGACUCAUCUUCAGAGGGAUACUGCCCCCAGCUAGCUCAGUAAAUGCAUAUCUUCUUUAAGCUAAAACUAAAUACAUAGAGAACAUUUGAUGGCUUCUGCGUAAAGGCAAUCCUCUGGCUAUCCUCUAAUGCUUAUGGUAUAUUAUUCACUGUAAUAUUAGAUGCAUUCCUCAGAUAAUUAUUUUCAUAUGUAUGGUUUGCACACUGAAGAAUACGUAUUUACUAGUUUGGUGCAAAGAUUAUUUUAAUUGUCAACUAUUCGGCUAUUCCAAAUAUUACACUAACCACUAAAACAUGCAUACACUGUAUAUUGUCUGAGGCUUUCUGUCCUCUGUCUCGUGGUUGGUUUGGGUGCAUAUGUUUUACUGUAUGUGUUUGAGAGUCUCCCAGUUUGCUGCUAUCUCUAACUGGGGGUUGGUUAAGGUUUUAAGUGCAUAUAAGUAUAGUGGAAAGCCGGUCAUAGAAUAGACUUUGCAGGGUAUUGAAAAUAAAUGUAUGUUUCUCAAAAGCUGGAUUGUAAAAGAAAAAUACAUAUAUGUAAGAAUGUGUGUGUGUAUGUGUGUGUGUGUGUGUGUGUGUGUGUAUAUAUAUAUAUAUAUAUAUAUAUAUAUAUAUACACACACACACACAUAAAGUAGCUCAUCUUUUUCUAUCGAUACAACCUUGCAAGACAUGUUUCAGCCCCCAAGGAAUGGAUAAAGGGUAAUUUUGCAUGUACACUGCUUUUUAAUUGGACCAUACCUCAGUAAAUGUACACUACCCCAAACCUAAAACCCAUUGUUGAACACAAGUUACCCAUGGACUCAGGUGACCUUAUUUGGUUAACCAGUUUUGUUAUCUGAGAGAACCCUACACUAUCAACUACAGUAAAUGUAGGGGUUUUCAGGCCUGAUAAGUCAUACACCUGUAUGCAAAUAAUCAACUUUCCUACCUUUUUCCACAAGGGAAAUGUGUACUAACCCAUAGUAGAUAGCUGGAGCAUUUUGCAUACAAACAUUACAAGUUAAUUUUCUAUUAUGAAUAUUUUCAGAAUACAAUGUAUUGAUUCUAUUCACUGUUAUUAUAUGGUCAAAAGUAACACCAUUAAGGAACUCACCACUUUCUGUUCAUUCUUCCUAUGCCACAUUGACAGACGGCACAUUAUGAUUUAAAGCUGUUUACUUGUUUUCCAUCUAGAUUGAUAUAUUUUAGCCAGCAGUUAAAAUACAUUACUGUUGAAGAUUGACAGUAAGAUUCAAGUUUCCCAUUGUAUACUAAUAUAAAAAACUGUAGUCUAUUUCGUAUUUCAGUCAUCAGAGUAUUUUUAUUUAGAUAUUUUGUGUGUGAUUAAGUAAGCUUCAGUUUUCAGUAAUGCACAAUUGGCGUCUUGUUCCUUUGAUCGUAUUCUUGAUGUAUUUGUUUUAGAUAUUUUGUUGCUAGAACAUUUCCACCUUCAUCGUCCCUCUCCUUCUCAGCAAUUUAUCUCUUCUACAAUAUCCUCUCCAAAAGGAUAAUAGUGGGAAUGUUUCUGAUCUUCAGUGCAGUGUUUGAAUGUACAAGUCAUUUAUUUUUGGGCUUAUGUCUUGUAACAAUGUUCAUUAGAACUUUAUUGAGAACUUUUAUUUGAAAUUAAUCAUCUGGUUUAUGCAGCUUUUCAUCUUGUAAAUUAAAUGAAAUCUGCCAUGCUAUAUGUAGACCUUUACUAUUUACCCUCAUCCCAACUCUAAGCCAAAAAAGCUUAAGUCAGAAAACCAAUGUUUAACGCUUCUUUUAUAAAAUAUUGAAAGCAUGUCUACGCUUGGUUUUUCUGUCACAGAAAAUGUAGUUGUUAUCAACCCACUGGCUGGCUCCAUGGAUUUCCAUUUAUAUAAAACAACCAAAUAAAAUGACUCUCCCCUACCAUCAA